rnacentral:tRNA from 2 species
GGGCGGUUAGCUCAGCCCGGGAGAGCGCCUGCCUUACAAGCAGGAUGUCAUAGGUUCGAAUCCUUUACCGCCCACCA